UGCAGUCGACGGCUGUAGCAAUACAGCAGUGGCAGACGGGUGAGUAACACGUGGGAACCUACCUAGGGGUACGGAAUAACGCAGGGAAACUUGUGCUAAUACCGUAUACGACCUCAGGGUGAAAGAUUUAUCGCCCCUAGAUGGGCCCGCGUUGGAUUAGCUAGUUGGUGAGGUAAAAGCUCACCAAGGCGACGAUCCAUAGCUGGUCUGAGAGGAUGAUCAGCCACACUGGGACUGAGACACGGCCCAGACUCCUACGGGAGGCAGCAGUAGGGAAUCUUGGACAAUGGGCGCAAGCCUGAUCCAGCCAUGCCGCGUGUGUGAUGAAGGCCUUAGGGUUGUAAAGCACUUUCGCUAGGGAAGAUAAUGACGGUACCUAGAUAAGAAGCCCCGGCUAACUUCGUGCCAGCAGCCGCGGUAAUACGAAGGGGGCUAGCGUUGUUCGGAAUUACUGGGCGUAAAGCGCACGUAGGCGGCAUUCCAAGUUGGAGGUGAAAUCCCCGGGCUUAACCUGGGAACUGCCUCCAAAACUGGGAAGCUAGAGUCCGAGAGAGGUGAGUGGAAUUUCCAGUGUAGAGGUGAAAUUCGUAGAUAUUGGAAAGAACACCAGUGGCGAAAGCGGCUCACUGGCUCGGUACUGACGCUGAGGAGCGACAGCGUGGGGAGCAACAGGAUUAGAUACCCUGGUAGUCCACGCCGUAACUAUGGGUGCUAGUUGUCGGGCAGCUUGCUGUUCGUGACGCAGCUAACGCAUUAGCACCCCGCCUGGGGAGUACGGUCGCAAGAUUAAACUCAAAGGAAUUGACGGGGGCCGCACAACCGUGGAACAUGUGGUUUAUUCGACGCACGCGCAGAACUUACCACCCUUGACAUGUCUAGAUGAUUUCCGAGAUGGAUUCUUCAGUUCGCUGGCUAGAAACAGGUGUUGCAUGGUGUCGCCACUCUGUCUGAGAUGUUGGGUUAAUCCCGAACGAGGGAACCUCGCCUUAUUGCCCCAUUAAUUGGGCC
rnacentral:rRNA from 1 species